UGUGCGACAGCCUGGGACACUGUACAAGCUCCUUGCUCCUUGUUUUCCUGGGUCCAGUCAGAGGGAAGGUUACCCACAAAACACAUGUGGAGCGUCCAGAAAACGUUCUGUUCUUCAAGCAAAAAAGGAGGGGGAACAGGUGAAUAUUUCAGGCGAGCAGCUCGGGGGAGAGAAAUGAACAGUCCUUGCGACGCCCCGGCUGCAUCUAUAAUGGAUGGCUCUAGAAGGCUGUGCCUGUCUCAUAGAGUGUAAAGAAUGCCUUCGGAGGGAACCCUUCCCCCCCCCCCCCCUCUUCCCAGCUCCCGGACCUUCGAUCCCGUUAUUUAUGGAUUUGACGCCGACGCUACCGGCCCGCCAACGGGCAGGGGAGCGCGUGCCAAGGAAAC